CACGGGGGGAGCAAGCGUUGUUCGGAAUCACUGGGCGUAAAGGGCGUGUAGGCGGUUCGGUAAGUGGAAUGUGAAAUCCCUCGGCUUAACCGAGGAACUGCCUGCCAGACUGGAAGGCUUGAGACCGGGAGAGGUGAGUGGAAUUCCCAGUGUAGCGGUGAAAUGCGUAGAUAUUGGGAGGAACACCAGUGGCGAAGGCGGCUCACUGGACCGGAACUGACGCUGAGGCGCGAAAGCGUGGGGAGCAAACAGG
rnacentral:rRNA from 1 species